rnacentral:rRNA from 1 species
AGGACGAACGCUGGCGGCGUGCUUAACACAUGCAAGUCAAGGGGACCGCAAGGUAACCGGCGAACGGGUGCGUAACACGUGAGCAACCUGCCUAGGUGUGGGGGAUAGCCGGCCCAACGGCCGGGUAAUACCGCAUACGAUCACUAGUCGGCAUCGACAUGUGAUGAAACUUUCGAGGCACUUAGAGGGGCUCGCGGCCUAUCAGCUUGUUGGUGGGGUAAUGGCUUACCAAGGCAACGACGGGUAGCUGGU